ACUGCUCAGUAACACGUGGACAACCUACCCUUAGGACGGGGAUAAACCCGGGAAACUGGGUAUAAUACCCGAUAGGUCUCGAUUGCUGGAAUGCAUCGAGAUUUAAAGCUCCGGCGCCUAAGGAUGGGUCUGCGGCCUAUCAGGUAGUAGUGGGUGUAGCGUACCUACUAGCCUACGACGGGUACGGGUUGUGAGAGCAAGAGCCCGGAGAUGGAUUCUGAGACACGAAUCCAGGCCCUACGGGGUGCAGCAGGCGCGAAAACUUUACAAUGCUGGCAACAGCGAUAAGGGAACCUCGAGUGCCAGGUUACAAAUCUGGCUGUCGAGAUGCCUAAAAAGCAUUUCAUAGCAAGGGCCGGGCAAGACCGGUGCCAGCCGCCGCGGUAACACCGGCGGCUCGAGUGGUAACCGUUAUUAUUGGGUCUAAAGGGUCUGUAGCCGGCCGGAUAAGUCUCUUGAGAAAUCUGGCAGCUUAACUGUCAGGCUUUCAGGAGAUACUGUCUGGCUCGAGGCCGGGAGAGGUGAGAGGUACUUCAGGGGUAGGGGUGAAAUCUUGUAAUCCUUGAAGGACCACCAGUGGCGAAGGCGUCUCACCAGAACGGACCUGACGGCAAGGGACGAAAGCUAGGGGCACGAACCGGAUUAGAUACCCGGGUAGUCCUAGCCGUAAACGAUACUCGCUAGGUGUCGGCCACGGUGCGACCGUUGUCGGUGCCGUAGGGAAGCCGUGAAGCGAGCCACCUGGGAAGUACGGCCGCAAGGCUGAAACUUAAAGGAAUUGGCGGGGGAGCAC
rnacentral:rRNA from 1 species